rnacentral:rRNA from 1 species
AACGAACGCUGGCGGCGCGCCUAACACAUGCAAGUCGAACGAGAAUCCGGGGCAACCCGGUAGUAAAGUGGCAAACGGGUGAGGAAUACAUGGGUAACCUACCCUUGAGAAGGGAAUAACCCGCCGAAAGGUGAGCUAAUACCCUAUACGCUAUCUUUUUUUCGAAAGGAUAGGAAAGCCGGGUCGAGGACCUGGUACUCAAGGAGGGGCUCAUGUCCUAUCAGCUUGUUGGUGGGGUAACGGCCUACCAAGGCUACGACGGGUAGCUGGUCUGAGAGGAUGAUCAGCCACACUGGCACUGAGAUACGGGCCAGACUCCUACGGGAGGCAGCAGUGAGGAAUAUUGGACAAUGGACGAAAGUCUGAUCCAGCCAUGCCGCGUGCAGGAUGAAGGCGCUCAGCGUUGUAAACUGCUUUUGGAUGGGAAUAAUAACCUCGACGUGUCGGGGCGUUGAAGGUACCAUCAGAAUAAGCACCGGCUAACUCCGUGCCAGCAGCCGCGGUAA